rfam:Oryza glaberrima chromosome 7 Oglab07_0034_3, whole genome shotgun sequence.
AAUAAGCGCAACCAUAAUAAGUUUCUAUGUCCAAUUUUGAUCAUCCGUCUUAUUUGAUUUUUUUUAUAAUUAGUAGUUUUAUUGUUAUUAGAUUAUAAAAUAUGAAUAGUACUUUAUGCGUGACUUAUGUUUUUUAUUUUUUUAAAAAAAUCAAAUAAAACGGACGAUUAAAGUUGGACACGAAAACUUAUGGCUACACUUAUU